AAUGAACGCUGGCGGCGUGCUUAACACAUGCAAGUCGAGCGUGAAAGUCCCUUCGGGGGCAAGUAAAGCGGCGAACGGGUGAGUAACGCGUGGGAAUCUACCUUUUAGUGAGGAAUACCCUUGAGAAAUCGAGGUUAAUACUGCAUACGUCCCUUCGGGGAGAAAGAUGGCCUCUUUGCUGUCGCUGAAAGAUGAGCCUGCGUACUAUUAGCUAGUUGGUGGGGUAAAGGCCUACCAAGGCAAUGAUGGUUAGCCGGCCUGAGAGGGUGUACGGCCACAUUGGAACUGAGACACGGUCCAGACUCCUACGGGAGGCAGCAGUGAGGAAUAUUGCGCAAUGGGCGAAAGCUUGACGCAGCGACGCCGCGUGGAGGAUGAAGGUUUUCGGAUCGUAAACUCCUGUUAAGUGGGAAGAAAAGCCUGGUUUUAAUACAGCCAGGUAAUGACGGUACCAUUAGAGAAAGCACCGGCUAACUUCGUGCCAGCAGCCGCGGUAAUACGAGGGGUGCAAGCGUUAUUCGGAAUUAUUGGGCGUAAAGGGUGCGUAGACGGCAUACUAAGUCAACUGUUAAAUUUCUCGGCCUAACCGGGGUGCAGCGGUAGAAACUGGUAAGCUAGAGGGUGGAAGAGAGAAGUGGAAUUCUCGGAGUAGCGGUAAAAUGCGUAGAUCUCGAGAGGAACACCGAUGGCGAAGGCAGCUUCUUGGUCCAUACCUGACGUUGAGGCACGAAAGCGUGGGGAGCAAACAGGAUUAGAUACCCUGGUAGUCCACGCCGUAACCGAUGAUCACUAGACGCUGGUUUUGCUUAGCAGAAUCAGUGUCGUAGCUAACGCGUUAAGUGAUCCGCCUGGGGAUUACGGUCGCAAGACUAAAACUCAAAGGAAUUGACGGGGGUCCGCACAAGCGGUGGAACAUGUGGUUUAAUUCGACACUACGCGAGAAACCUUACCUAGGCUUGACAUGCUUUUGACAGCUGUAGAAAUACA
rnacentral:rRNA from 1 species